AUCCAACUGACGGGUCCCAAAUAGGACGAAACGCG
rnacentral:hammerhead_ribozyme from 1 species